CACCCUUUCACGGACUUUUAAACUGAGAAGGAAGGAACCACGUGGAAGAUUCUCAACAGGUUCUAGCAAACACUGAGCAGUUUUGUGAAGAAUGCCCUUCUCUGAGAGAAACCUGCAUCUAGAAGCCAACAUAAAGCAUGGAGGCCACAUGAUGCCUGGAGUUACUGCGGAAGAUAUGAAUCAGCAGGAGUUCGUCAGAGCUUGGCAGCCUUCCUCGGAAAGUCUGGGAGGCUGAGGGAUGCCUGGGUGGCUGAGUCAGUCUUGCGUCUGACUUCAGCUCACGACAUGAUCUCAGAGUCCCGGGAUCAAGCCCCACAGCAGGGUCCCUUCUCAGCAGGGAGCCUGCUUCUCCCUCUCCCUCUCCCUCUGCUUGUGUGCUCACUCUCUCUCUCUCUCUCUCUCUGUGAGAUACACAAAUAAAAUCUUUAAAAAAAAAAUCA
rnacentral:lncRNA from 1 species